rnacentral:lncRNA from 1 species
AUUCUCUCUAAGAAACUGACACUGUAGAAUAUAGGAGCAAAGUCCAGAUAAUGACAGCUACACAAAGCUCUUGUAAGCAAAGUAAUCAGGCCUGUGUCAGUUGGUCCCUUUUUUCAUGAUCUCUUGCCUGGACAGCUGGUAAAAUCUGAUCCAAGAGAUAUUUUUCAACAUCUAUGACAAAUAGUGAGCAGUGCAAGGUGCUGCUUCAGGAGUGGCUAAAAGGAAAGAUGAAAUGGCAAGAAAUAGUCUCCACUAUGAGGAGACCACUCAUUGCAUAAGGAGUAUUAAAACACACAGGAUUCCUGUUACUGUUACUCAUCCAGCAAGAAUUCUGUCACUAUUUUAUGCAAGUGGUUUUGAUUGGCUUAGGUAUAUGGUUACAAACCCAGAAGGAAGCCACAGACUUUGUAUCUGGGCUGCACUGGGGGAAUGAAGAGGAUCCAAUGAUCCUUAUAUGGGUUACUGUUUCCACAUCCCUAUGUUUCAACUAUAUGAUAGAGAUGGAAGGCAUCAGUCUCAGCACUAUAACUCAGUUUCCAAGCACACUGAGUAUAAUGUGAAGUCCAGGCCUCCGAGACAGCACCACCUCAGUGAACUGAUCGACCUUGUUGCAGUGUUAGAAACAUGAAGACAUCUGAUAAAUGCUGCCACUUCCAGCCUGGCAUUUCUGUUGUUCUGAGUCUUAGUAGGCAGUUCAGAAAAGCAUUCUGCUUGUUCAUCUCCCAUCACCAGUCCUGUGUCUGGUGCUGGAAAUGCACCAUGAUUGGAUACUCACGGCAAUAAGAGCUGUGGAAGCAACAUGCAAGUGGUGCUUUCCAAGGUAGGAAACACAUUUAAGCACAUUACCUGAUUGUGUUCUCAUACAUUGGGCUUAGAGCAGCUGCCCCUCUAAAGUGAAGAAUACUGUAAGGAAGACAGCACUAUCUAUGGGUGUCAAACAAAAAUGGCUUCCAAGUUUAAUGUCACUCAGCAGGACCUGUACAAGAUGUAUUAGUGUGGUUCAAGGUCUGAGCCUGGGUUCUUUUUGGAAGCAGAAGCCAAGACACAGAUUUGACUUGGGUUGCCCUGAGUGAUGAUUCCAGAAGGUACCAAGAGGGGAGUGACAACCAGAUAGAACAGGGAGGCAGUAAGGAGCUCUGGGGAGCUUAGUUGUGGUGGGGAACUCUGGAAGAGAGUGUGGACUGAUCCCCCUGAAGAUGCAGUAGUAGUUCUCCUGGUGCCAUCUAAUCUUGAUGAAGGAUGUCUUCUCCUUUGAGGAGGAGUGGGUGGUCACUCUAGCACUCUGUCCAAAUGAAGAAAAAGGCCCCAGAGUUUUGGGGGCUUGCUUCAGAACACUGGGACAAGCCAUGAUGUCAGGACCCAAGGGCACUGAUAACUUUUGUCUUUGACAUCACUAAAUGCCAACUGCACCAUACAAUGUUAUACCUACUCAAUGAGAAGACAGAGGUAAACUGUGUGGCCCUCUAUUCUCUGCAAUGUUUUCCCUGAUGUCCACAUGCUUUUUAUCACUUCUAUCAUCUCUGAGGCUUACAUUUUUGCAUGGAUUCUUUUCACCUAAUAAUAAGGCACCUCCCCCUCUUCACAGUCUCCUUCAGAUUACAGAUUUAUACCAAGGUAUGUAUGACUGACAACUUAAAACAUCUCCCUUCUUAGGAGGCAAAGAAGGUUUGCAUCUUGAUUUACAGUGGUCUUCAAAGAUAGCUCUAAGCCUGUCUAUCUGGUUUGGUCCUGUAGCUUAAGAAUUUUAAUCAGCAGGCAAUUUUUAAAGAUGAUAAUUAUAACCUUGUAUUUUUAACUAAAAAUGCAAAUUACUUCUUCCACACUGCCCUGGUGAAGGACUUGGCAGAGUCAAGUGAAAGGUGCCUCCUUCCCUGACAAGACAUCUCUCUCCAGUUGGCUACAUCCUUCUCAUCUUUUCACCCCGCAGCAUCCCUCAUUCCAGCCAUCCCCUGCUUCUCCAGGCUUUUGUAUUUAUGAUACAUGAUCUGUAACACACUAGAGAAUGGAGGGACCAUUCUUAGAGAUCUUUGCCUUUAACUGCCAUCCUCCAUCGGUGCUCUUGAAACUAUACUAUCUAGUAUGUAAUUUUCUUAGCACUUUCCCAACCUCCCACAGUCGAAAGACAAUAAGACUUCGGAAAAGAUCUUUGUAAGAGGGAUGACCUCAACAGUUAUAGAAGCUUACAUUUACUCUUCAUUAAAAUUGUCCGAGGUAGUAUUUGCACUUUAAAUCCUCUAAAAGAGAAGCAAAUCUGUGCUUGAAAUAGAAAUUGCCAGAAUAAAGAACAAGGAAGACAUUUAGAUAAUCUCA